rnacentral:rRNA from 1 species
GGCUGCGAUCAUACCAGCACUAAUGCACCGGAUCACAUCAGAACUCCGCAGUUAAGCGUGCUUGAGCGAGAGUAGUACUAGGAUGGGUGACCCCCUGGGAAGUCCUCGUGUUGCAACCC